UACGAAGGGGGCUAGCGUUGUUCGGAUUUACUGGGCGUAAAGCGCGCGUAGGCGGGUUGCUAAGUCAGGGGUGAAAUGCCGGGGCUCAACCCCGGAACUGCCUUUGAUACUGGCAAUCUGGAGAUCGGGAGAGGUGAGUGGAAUUCCGAGUGUAGAGGUGAAAUUCGUAGAUAUUCGGAGGAACACCAGAAGCGAAGGCGGCUCACUGGCCCGAUACUGACGCUGAGGCGCGAAAGCGUGGGGAGCAAACAGG
rnacentral:rRNA from 1 species